UUAGCUUGGGAUAAAGAAAGUUAACAAAAAUUUAUAAAUCACUGGUUUUAUCUUUAAGAAAUUGUUUCUAUUUGUUCACAAUUGGAUUUAAGAAAUGAGUCCAAAUUAGUUUUAGGUUAAUCAUUGAAAUUUAUUUGAUCAGGGAACCAUCAAACUUGGACAGCAAUGGCGGGAAUCUAAGCUACAGUGGACGGACUUUUUAGGAGAUGAUGCUAAAGUAGAUGAAUUUAUUCUAAAACAUAAAUUGGAAUUUACAAUUUGUCCUACUAAAGUAAAGCCUACCACACCAAUGUCAAUUGAAGAUUGGAUGCAU